rnacentral:lncRNA from 1 species
GAGCAUCAAUCUGAUUAUAGCUAAUUGGUCGACAGGAAAAUGGAACAAAUGUUCAGGCGCUAAAAAUGCCUACUGUUGCUUGCGAUGCAACGCUGCUGGGAAAUUCAACUUCAGAAGGGAAUGGUUAUCCUGACAAAAAGGUGAGUUUGUCAAAUAUUUUUAAUGAUGCCUAUUUGUUGAGUUCAGGAUUUAAACUGAUUGGUUUUGUUUUUUUGCUAUCAUUUUUAUUCUAGCUCUCAGUAAUAGCUUAUUUUGGAAAAACAAUUAGUUUUUCAUCAAAAUCUCUCUUGCAGAGCUAAUAAAAAGUGUUUUUUCCCCUAAAGUAAAACAAUUUAAAAUUAUAUUGCUAAACCUUCGCACAUACAAGUUUUUCUGGUUCUUUAAUCCAAAUUAUCUAUUGAGAAAUGUACAAUUACAUUACCUUGUAAAUCUUUAUAUUCCAACCACUAUUUGUCCCCUUAUAUUAAACUGCUUUGCGGGGUUGGUUCUUAGGGAAAGAAAAAGAUCAAGGUAGAACAGAAUGUAUCAUCAAU